rnacentral:sRNA from 1 species
UGUGCCCACGGAUGGGCGCAGGCCGUCAAGGAAGACAGUCAAGGACAUCGCAGGACGCGAUUCAUCAGGAUGAUGAAAGGGAUUAAAAGGAUUAGGGAAAAAUGUGGGCGGGUCAUACCGCCCCUUUUUUU